UGCAAUGCUUUUACUCUCUAAUAACUUGUGGAAUCUCUCCCUCAAACAUGUUAUUGGAUAGAUUGAUGCUUGUGAAAACAAACAAGAUCUUUUCUAGAUGAAUGUCAAGUCCUUUACAUGUUAAUUCAAUAGAGUCUUAAUAAUAACCAGUACCAUAGCUAUAGUUUUCAUAACUCAAGUAGUGCAACCCAAUUUUCGCAUCUAAUUUUCUCAGCUUCAAAGCAUUUGAAGAUUGUUGCAAGUAAAGAGCCACAAAAAUUGUUGCUGGACAAGUCAAGUACUCUUAACCUUAGUAUAGUGCCAAAGAAGCUGUUCAUUUGUAAAUCUAAUAUGGAAUGAGCAAGGCUAGAGCUAACAAGGUAGUGUGGAAUGGUGCUGGUGAAGUGAUUAUGGGACAAGUUAAGAAUAUCAAGAGUUCUAGCAUUGCAAAUAGAAGAAAGGAGCUCUCCUUAAAGGAAGCUGGAAUUCAAGUCAAGAAAAAACAUGUUUUUCCAUGACAAUUGUUGCAACGACACAUUUCUAGUGAGAAAGUUGUGAGAAAGGUUCAAGAAUGUAAGGUUCUGAAGUUGAAAAAUUGACAAUGGAAUUGAGCCGUACAA